GGGCGAAUAGUUUAACGGCAGAGCACCUUAUUUUUCCCUUGUUCAAUCACUUACCUAAAAGGGUCGAAGAAAUUAGGGUUAUCGCAUACCACGCGGGAAAUGGGGGUUCGACUCCCCCUUCGUUCACCA
rnacentral:tRNA from 1 species